rnacentral:rRNA from 1 species
UACGGAGGGGGCUAGCGUUGUUCGGAAUUACUGGGCGUAAAGCGCACGUAGGCGGCUUUGUAAGUUAGAGGUGAAAGCCCAGGGCUCAACCCUGGAAUUGCCUUUAAGACUGCAUCGCUUGAACAUCGGAGAGGUAAGUGGAAUUCCGAGUGUAGAGGUGAAAUUCGUAGAUAUUCGGAAGAACACCAGUGGCGAAGGCGACUUACUGGACGAUUGUUGACGCUGAGGUGCGAAAGCUAGGGGAGCAAACGGG